rnacentral:rRNA from 1 species
AUUGAACGCUAGCUACAGGCUUAACACAUGCAAGUCGAGGAGCAGCGGGAUUGAAACUUGCUUCAAUUGCCGGCGACCGGCGCACGGGUGAGUAACGCGUAUCCAACCUUCCGUACACUCAGGGAUAGCCUUUCGAAAGAAAGAUUAAUACCUGAUGGUAUGAUGAGAUUGCAUGAUAACAUCAUUAAAGAUUCAUCGGUGUACGAUGGGGAUGCGUUCCAUUAGGUAGUAGGCGGGGUAACGGCCCACCUAGCCUACGAUGGAUAGGGGUUCUGAGAGGAAGGUCCCCCACAUUGGAACUGAGACACGGUCCAAACUCCUACGGGAGGCAGCAGUGAGGAAUAUUGGUCAAUGGACGAGAGUCUGAACCAGCCAAGUAGCGUGAAGGAUGAAGGUCCUACGGAUUGUAAACUUCUUUUAUAAGGGAAUAAAACCUCCCACGUGUGGGAGCUUGUAUGUACCUUAUGAAUAAGCAUCGGCUAACUCCGUGCCAGCAGCCGCGGUAACAC